CGGGACGGGUGAGUAAUGUCUAGGGAAAUCGCCGAUGGAGGGGGAUAACUACUGGAAACGGUAGCUAAUACCGCAUAACGUCGCAAGACCAAAGAGGGGGACCUUCGGGCCUCUUGCCAUCGGAUGUGCCCAGAUGGGAUUAGCUAGUAGGUGGGGUAACGGCUCACCUAGGCGACGAUCCCUAGCUGGUCUGAGAGGAUGACCAGCCACACUGGAACUGAGACACGGUCCAG
rnacentral:rRNA from 1 species